rnacentral:rRNA from 1 species
AUUGAACGCUGGCGGCAUGCCUUACACAUGCAAGUCGAACGGCAGCACGGGAGCAAUCCUGGUGGCGAGUGGCGAACGGGUGAGUAAUAUAUCGGAACGUGCCUAGUAGUGGGGGAUAACUGCUCGAAAGAGCAGCUAAUACCGCAUACGACCUGAGGGUGAAAGGGGGGGAUCGCAAGACCUCUCGCUAUUGGAGCGGCCGAUAUCAGAUUAGCUAGUUGGUGGGGUAAAGGCCUACCAAGGCAACGAUCUGUAGUUGGUCUGAGAGGACGACCAGCCACACUGGGACCGAGACACGGCCCAGACUCCUACGGGAGGCAGCAGUGGGGAAUUUUGGACAAUGGGCGCAAGCCUGAUCCAGCAAUGCCGCGUGCAGGAAGAAGGCCUUCGGGUUGUAAAGCACUUUCAGUAGGGAGGAAGGGUGUUGUGUUAAUAGCACAGCAUUUUGACGUUACCUACAGAAGAAGCACCGGCUAACUCUGUGCCAGCCGCCACCGUAAGAC